AUUUGAUUGUAUAUGCUUGAGGGGGGGUGCAAGGACUGUAUGGAUGCUCCACAGGUUUGAAGAAUGGUUCAACCUGGGAUUUGAGCAUCAUUUUAGGAGGACAGAAAGAUGACAUGUAUUUAGUAGUAACUAACCCUCACAGUUUGAAUUUUGAUCCUUCCCCACACAGACAUAGGCAUACGGAUACUUUGUCUCCCACAGCUGUGAGCCACAGCUGUGAGUCACAGCUGUCCUAGGGAGCCCCAAGUCACUGACUGCAUGUGCUGCUGCUGUGGACGGUUAUGCCGAGGGGAAAAAAAGUGUGAGAGCAGCUUCUGUGUUAAGGCAGCUCCUUCCUGUGUGGCCGGCCAUCUCACCGAGAACGCAGCUGACACUAUUCAGACUCGAGUAUGCAGUAGACAUUUUCUUUAGAGACAAUAAAGGGAGUAUGUCUCCUCCAGAGGAAAAGGACAGCAUUGGUGGCCAGUGCUUAAAACAUUUGCUCUCUCAGGUGAACAUUAGAAUUUUGGAGAAUCUGUAUCCACCAACCAUGAAUAUGAUGGUUUCCCAAGAACUGAGUGUUCAUCACAGACGAUGCAUGCAGGGGUAAUGGAUGGGAACUGUAGCCCUCAGAGAAUGAAAUUCGCCCACAGUUUGAAGCUCUGCAGGACUCUGAAGCAAUGUUUUGAAGUGACCAGUGGAUGACCUUACAGAGUUAUGCACCGGGAGAAAAGAAAAGUCCAUGAAAGAAAGGUUGAUGGGUUUUACGUAACAGCAAUGGGAACAAUUCAAGCAUGAGAUUAUAACCUAGAAUAUGAAACUAUUAGUUUCAAUUUUAUGCUGUGAAACAAAGAAUAUACAAAAACUAUCUGGAACAGGCUGUUAAAAUAUUCUUUCUCCAUCCCAACCCUCGAGGCAAAUGCCGUAGGGGGAUUGGGAGUUCAAGAUCUUUACUGGCUACAGAGUACAUGAGACACUGUCUCAAAGAAGUAUGGAUCCUUCCCUUCCUAUCACUUCUGGUUCACUCUCUCUGAUUCAUGUUUAAAGGUGUGUCCUCUCAGUUUCCAGUCCCCACCACCGGCCACCAUGCCAGCGGCUUGCUUUCCAGUCACAAUGGACUCUUAUUCCUCUGGAACCGUAAGCCCAAAUAAACUCUUGCCUCAAG
rnacentral:lncRNA from 1 species